rnacentral:lncRNA from 1 species
GGGAGUAGGAAGCGCGUCACCCGGGCCAUAAAUUUGCGGUGAUGGCGCCUCCCCAGACGGAAGGACAGGGCCGACUCCGGAGCAGGUGGGGCCGCCGGGACUCGACCCCCGCGGUAGGCGCUGCGCGGCUUCUCCCGACGCGGGUCCCGGGCGCGCUCGGCCGCCCCUCCCGCCGCAUCCGCCCGCUCCCGGCCCCGCCGCGGGAUUUCCAAAGGGCUUUUGUUCCGGGCUUGGAUGUAGAGGCUUUGAUUUUUUUUACCACCCGCCUCAGGAGACUUUUUGCUUGGAAAAGUCCUGCUAUUAAAACAAAAACAAAAACCAAUCAAUUCCGGAGGGAAGAAAA